AGAAAUAAUGCAAGCAGCUCCAUUCCCCACGGCAACUGUGCAGAGAGGCUUGCAGGUCCAAACCACUGGUAGCAGCCCCUGGUAUAUCCAGGACAUCAGCACAUAGAACCAGUGAAAGGGUCCUCCCUCAUAGUGACGCAUGUCAUAGACUCAGAUUUAUACAAACAAAUGCUGAGCAAACCAUGAAGAGUCUCUGGUAUUUUCAACAAUAUCAUCACAGAGGAACUGUAUUGAUUUCCUUCCUUCAGUGGUCCAAGAACCUGCUGCUCCCGGGUCCUCUCAUUUGAAGACACCCACCGCCUAAGGAUGAAGAGAAGCUCCUUCUUGCAGAUCUGAGGCUGAUUUCCCAACUCCCAGGAACACCCUACCCACAGCCUGUUCCCCAGACCCAGGAACUUUUCAAAUGUAGAGGAGCCUUUAGAAGGAAGCCUUGAGCAUGAGGACAGACCCCCCUCAUCCAACCACCACCUGACUCUGUGUGAACCUGGAACUGUUAGAAUGUCUGUGCUGUGAUAAAAGGUCAUCUCCCUACAAUGUUAUGAUACAGACCUCAAACCUACAAACAUGAGGAACUUCUGCCUCCAGGUUAACUGCUUACCCACUGUACAAGACACGUUACACACAGUCCAGGAGGCGGAGCUUCUGAGAUAUCUAGAAACAGCUUAGAGGCAAAAUGACAAAAUAAAGCAGCAACAACAAAUAAAACCAAUCUUCUCGAACUGG
rnacentral:lncRNA from 1 species